rnacentral:lncRNA from 1 species
GCCUGCUUCCUAACCGACUUCUCAGAACUGCCUGCCGCUGGGCUGCCUAACAGAAGCUCAAGUUCUGGGAUUCCACCCUUGAAAAGAAAUGAAUCUGCACUUAACUUAGUGAGCCCUGUAGGUCAGGUCGAGUUUAGGUCAAAGUUGUGGGCCCAGCCGAGAUGGGAGCAUCCCAGCCUUCCCAGGCACUUCCCCUCACUGUGAUGGACACCAGUGAAGGAACAUAGGAAGAACAAAGGUUCAUGCAAUGAAGCUUCGUGAAAUACUAUUGACUGUGCGGCCAUUCUCUUGGGAUCCCAGCCCUGUUAUUAGCAGAAGACAAUGUGACAAAAAGCUAACUUAAAUAAAACAACGAUCAAGAGUUAUCCCCA